UCCGGUUUGUCACCGGCGGUCUCCUGUGAGUUCCCACCUUUAGUGCUGGUAACACAGGACGAGGGUUGCGCUCGUUGGCGGACUUAACCGUACACCUCACGGCACGAGCUGACGACAGCCAUGCAACAAGUGUCUUCACGUCCCCUUGUGGGGGAGGGCCCUCUUUCAAGGGCUUGCGAUCGAUGUCAAGUCUGGGUAAGGUUCUUCGGUUAGUAUCGAAUUAAUCCACAUGCUCCACCGCUUGUGCGGGUCCCCGUCAAUUCAUUUGAGUUUCAACCUUGCGGCCGUACUCCCCAGGCGGGAUACUUAAUGCGUUAGCUGCGGCACAAGAGGGGUCGAUACCUCUUACGCCUAGUAUCCAUCGUUUAGGGCGUGGACUAC
rnacentral:misc_RNA from 1 species